rnacentral:rRNA from 1 species
GACGAACGCUGGCGGCGUGCUUAACACAUGCAAGUCGAACGGAAAGGCCCUGCUUUUGUGGGGUGCUCGAGUGGCGAACGGGUGAGUAACACGUGAGUAACCUGCCCUUGACUUUGGGAUAACUUCAGGAAACUGGGGCUAAUACCGGAUAGGAGCUCCUGCUGCAUGGUGGGGGUUGGAAAGUUUCGGCGGUUGGGGAUGGACUCGCGGCUUAUCAGCUUGUUGGUGGGGUAGUGGCUUACCAAGGCUUUGACGGGUAGCCGGCCUGAGAGGGUGACCGGCCACAUUGGGACUGAGAUACGGACCAGACUCCUACGGGAGGCAGCAGUGGGGAAUAUUGCACAAUGGGCGGAAGCCUGAUGCAGAAACGCCGCGUGCGGGAUGACGGCCUUCGGGUUGUAAACCGCUUUCGCAUGUGACGAAGCGUGAGUGACGGUAAUGGGUAAAGAAGCACCGGCUAACUACGUG